GAUCAUUAUUGAUACACUAAAUUUGUGAAUAAAUUCAACAAACUUUAAUUAUAUAAUCAAAAAAUWAAAAUCAAAACUUUUAACAAUGGAUCUCUUGGUUCUCGUAUCGAUGAAGAACGCAGCGAAACGCGAUAUUUCUUGUGAAUUGCAGAAGUGAAUCAUCAGUUUUUGAACGCACAUUGCACUUUGGGGUAUCCCCCAAAGUAUACCUGUUUGAGCGUUGUUUCUCUCUUGGAAUUGCAUUGCUUUUCUAAAAUAACGAAACAAAAUUGUUUGUAUUAAAUUAUAAUCAACCUCAGAUCAAGUAGGACUACCCGCUGAACUUAAGCAUAUCAA
rnacentral:misc_RNA from 1 species